AAGACUUCCCUGAGUGUGACCUAGUUGUGUCCCUAUGAACAAGGACAUGUUCAUUUGCAUUUCUAAGGAGAUGACAUCAUAAGUGUUUUUAAAUGAGUGUUUUCGGUGUGAGGUUUUGCCUGCCCGUUAGAUUAUAAAUUAAGAACUGUUUCGUUUGUAGUUUUUGGUUCUUGACAAAAAUGAAGCAAAAUUUUCCUUAUCUUUUCCUUCCCCAAGUCUGCGGGGCCUAAUUCCUACUCCACUUCCCACAAAACACACCCAACUCUCAGAAACUCAUAAGCUUGUUUUUCCCACGCAAUCAAAAUCUAAAAUAUAUUCAUAAUAAAGUCAUAAAGCACUCAAGAGUUUUCAUACCCGCAGGCUGCUCCCCCUACAGGGUGCCCCUAUAUAUGCAUUUUGACAGAAGUCCACGUCCAAGGCAAAGGAGAUUUUAAGUGACAGCGUUGUCCAUGAAAUAAAUCACAAAGAGCAAAAAUGUAGAAAAAAAUUCCUACCAAAGGCUGCCCAAUUUUUAUUUCCUGCCCCCAAAUCUACCACCUUGGGUGCUUAACAGCCAAUCAGCGCUGUCUGGCACACAAAGGCAGGCAGACACACACACAAAGAAUGCUU